AGGUAACUGAAGACAGAAAACAGACCUCAAGAGGAGCGCUCGAAGGAGGCAGGGAUUUGCCUGCAUUUGGCUCUGACUUCGGUGAUACCGGAGCGCCGUGUCCCGGCGGCGGGAUGGUGGGACUCAGCCCUGCCUUCGCUCAGGAGAUGAGUCAGGAAGCCUCAGCAUCUUCCCCAGACGCCGGUCACCGAGUCCCAGAGCAUCGUCAGGGCUGGAGGCCGCGUAGCAGAGGACUUGGACUUCGCUGCACAGGUGACACGUUGUGAGCCUUCCCAGCCCCUGGAGCCUCAUCCUUAGUGACGGCUGCACAAGGGCAAGGUCACGUUUAAAAGUUCCCACAGUAGCUUUCAGUGUGACCGACGGCUGCACAAGGGCAAGGUCACGUUUAAAAGUUCCCACAGUAGCUUUCAGUGUGACCGCUUGUUCUUUGCUUGGCCUCCCCUGCGUGGCCUGAACGAGGUCUAGAAGCUGAACCUUCGUUGAUGACAGGUCGCCUUGGAACCCACUUCCCACAGGGGCACCUUAGGGAAGGGUUGCGUUUUUCACACCUUGAUUCCUUUCCUUCCCGCUGCGUGACGGCUGCAGGGGUGACACGUUAUCCAAACGCCUGUGUGUCCUUCCCGCGUGUGGCUUGAGUCAUCUGCUCAAGAUGAUACCGAGAUGAGGUUCGUGAUCGGAAGGUUUACUUCGAGAACCUCGGGGGGAUGGUUGCUGACUAUUCGCCAGUUUGCCGUGGCCGCGUUCAUGAACGUGGAUAGGGAUGGUUUUGCUCCUGCUUCUGUUUCCAAAGGGGCGGUGAGAAAAGUUGAGUGUUAAAGUUGAUCGCAUUGUUUAAAGGUUGGGAUACAUGUUGGUGUGUCGUCUAGAAGCUUGUCUGCCAACGCCUGACACACGUGCUCUUAGCUUGUUAACCUGGAAAUUGUCCAGCAUACUCACGAGGGGGGUAGGAUUUUCCCGUGUAUUCCCGUGUCCCCUCACCCUGCGUCAGCCCCCAUCCGCCUGUCGUGAGCUUGUCUCCUGUGCACCUUCACUGUUUUUUUCCUCUUCAGUAGAGGCAGCUGCAUCCAGAGCACAUCUUAGACAUCACGUUGCUUUAACCAGAAGCAUUUCAGGAGGUGUGUCUAACCUGGAAGGAUUUUUAAAAACGUAUCUACCAAGAUACCAUCGUCAUCCUGGG
rnacentral:lncRNA from 1 species